GAUGAACGCUAGCGGCAGGCUUAAUACAUGCAAGUCGAGGGGCAUCAAGGUACACGAAAGUGUAUUGUUGGCGACCGGCGGACGGGUGAGUAAUAGGUAGGUAACCUACCUCAUACUGAGGCAUAGCUGGGAGAAAUUCCAGGUAAUUCCUCAUGAGGUUAUAUGACACAUGUGAUAUAAUCAAAGGUAUCGCAAGGUACUGGUAUGAGAUGGGCUUACUGACCAUUAGCUAGUUGGUGAGAUAAGAGCUCACCAAGGCGAAGAUGGUUAGGGGUUUUGAGAGAGAGAUCCCCCACAUUGGAACUGAGAUACGGUCCAGACUCCUACGGGAGGCAGCAGUAGGGAAUAUUGGGCAAUGGGCGGAAGCCUGACCCAGCCAUGCCGCGUGAAGGAAGACGGCCUUAGUGGGUUGUAAACUUCUUUACUAUGCGACUAACUAGAUUUACGAGAUAAUUCUAUAGAAUGUAGCAUAGACAAAAAGCACCGGA
rnacentral:rRNA from 1 species